rnacentral:misc_RNA from 1 species
AACGCACAUUGCGCCCUCUGGUAUUCCGGAGGGCAUGCCUGUCCGAGCGUCAUUGCUGUCCCUCAAGCCCGGCUUGUGUGUUGGGCCUACCGUCCUGUUUGGAUGGUGGCCCGAAAGGCAGUGGCGGCGUCGCGUCCCGGUCCUUGAAGCGUAUGGGGCUUUGUCACCCGCUUGGAGGCCGGCCGAUGCCGUAGCCCAUCGUGGAUCUUCCACAUUUAUUCUGAUGGACCUCGGAUCAGGUAGGGAUACCCGCUGAACUUAA